rfam:Triticum aestivum genome assembly, contig: Triticum_aestivum_CS42_TGACv1_scaffold_577670_7BL
CAAGUACUCCCUCUGUCCGGAAUUACUUGUCAUCAAAAUGGAUGUGUCUAGAACUAAAAUACAUCUAGAUACAUCCAUUUCAAUGACAAGUAUUUUCGGACAGAGGGAGUACAAG